AUUAAAAUGUAGAGCCCCUGGCCCAGUGGCCAGGAUCCAGGCAGUGUGAGUGCCACUGAAAAUCAGCUCGGGUGCUGUCUUUGGCACCCAUGCCCUACGUAGCCUACCCCGAUCUAGUCUGACCUGCC